rnacentral:rRNA from 2 species
UGGUGGGUAGUUUGACUGGGGCGGUCUCCUCCUAAAGAGUAACGGAGGAGCACGAAGGUUGGCUAAUCCUGGUCGGACAUCAGGAGGUUAGUGCAAUGGCAUAAGCCAGCUUGACUGCGAGCGUGACGGCGCGAGCAGGUGCGAAAGCAGGUCAUAGUGAUCCGGUGGUUCUGAAUGGAAGGGCCAUCGCUCAACGGAUAAAAGGUACUCCGGGGAUAACAGGCUGAUACCGCCCAAGAGUUCAUAUCGACGGCGGUGUUUGGCACCUCGAUGUCGGCUCAUCACAUCCUGGGGCUGAAGUAGGUCCCAAGGGUAUGGCUGUUCGCCAUUUAAAGUGGUACGCGAGCUGGGUUUAGAACGUCGUGAGACAGUUCGGUCCCUAUCUGCCGUGGGCGCUGGAGAACUGAGGGGGGCUGCUCCUAGUACGAGAGGACCGGAGUGGACGCAUCACUGGUGUUCGGGUUGUCAUGCCAAUGGCACUGCCCGGUAGCUAAAUGCGGAAGAGAUAAGUGCUGAAAGCAUCUAAGCACGAAACUUGCCCCGAGAUGAGUUCUCCCUGAGACUUAGAGUCUCCUGAAGGAACGUUGAAGACGACGACGUUGAUAGGCCGGGUGUGUAAGCGCAGCGAUGCGUUGAGCUAACC